AAGAUCAUCAGAUUCCGAUUCCCAGAGAGGCUUUCAGCUCUCAGAGUAUCCGUCAAGCGAAGGCACUUCGAAUGAAAUUUGCAGCAUUAGGGAAGCAGCCCCUCCAAUCUCUACUCUGAGUUUUCUUCUGUUGGCUCUUAAAAGAGCCUUUGGGUCUCUCUAGAAGUGUUAAAGCAAAAGAGGCAAAUUACUUGGAGCUGGCAUACUUGGUAACAGCCUUAGUGCCUUCAGACACAGCGUGCUUGGCCAACUCUCCCGGCAGGCCGUCUCUGGAUCUCCCUGGAAGUGAUAAGAAUACAAGAAAAUAAGAAGUUUGCUCAGUCAACAGAGAGGCACAGCCAUGAACACGCAUAGGAUGUGGAGGACGCGUGCAAAACAACAACACUCCGCAAGUGGAGCAGCAAGGCUUGGCAUGUUUCCCCCUCCUAGCACCCACACAGAGAAUGGCAGCACGCAUGUUUCUGGACAUUUCUUCUCCGCAACCUGUCUGACUC